AACGCACAUUGCGCCCGCCAGCACUCUGGCGGGCAUGCCCGUCCGAGCGUCGCCUCCACCCGCCAGCACCGCUGUGUUGGGGCCUGGCCUGCCAGCCCCGAAAGAGAGAGGCGGGGCCCCCGCGCGCCGAGCGUAGUGCGAACGCCGCUCCGGCCGCCGGGGGCCUCCGGCCCGAGGCACCCAAGCCGACCUCGGAUCGGGCAGGACUACCCGCUGAACUUAA
rnacentral:misc_RNA from 1 species